GGGGGCGAAUUGGCUUCGACCGGGCAAGUUGAGGAGAUGUGUGGCGUGCCGAGGUUGUCAGGCGGCCUCGUUAAACACCUGGCGAAAAUUUUACGUGCCAACCCUCAGUUGAGCAUGGCAGCCUAAAACGGCUACCCGUCAAUCCGCCAACGCCUGCUAGGCGGGGCGACGGUAAUCAGCAGGCUGGCCGGUUCGUGCUGCUCGGCCGCUAACCGGCGAGACACAGUCGAGCUGGAUGCUUCGGAAGCCUGUCGAUUGGCGUCCAGGGCAUCGACAACAAUCAAUCGACUACGCACGUAGAGGCCGUUUCCAAAGUGCUUCGGGACGUGGGUUCGAUUCCCACCGCCUCCAGUU
rnacentral:tmRNA from 1 species